rnacentral:rRNA from 1 species
AUAUUACUAAGCGGAGGAAAAGAAAUUAACAAAGAUUGCCUUAGUAAGGGCGACUGAACCGGCAAAAGCUCAAAAUUGGAAUCGAAGCUUCAAUGAAUCUUCGAAUUGUAAUCAGGCCAGCCUAGAUACGAGAGUUAGUUUAAGUACGUCGAAACGUACGCCAAGGAGGGUGAAAGCCCCGUGUAGCUUUCUCUCGAGUAAGGUGAGCCCCACAAGAGUCGGGUUGCUUGGAACUGCAGCCUAGCGGGAGAUAUGAAUCUUCCAAAGCUAAAUAAGGAUGGGAGACCGAUAGCGCACAAGUA